UACGUAGGGAGCAAGCGUUGUCCGGAAUUACUGGGCGUAAAGGGUGCGUAGGCGGUAUGGCAAGUCAGAUGUGAAAUCCCCGGGCUUAACUCGGGUGGUGCAUUUGAAACUGCUGUACUUGAGUGCAGGAGAGGAAAGCGGAAUUCCUAGUGUAGCGGUGAAAUGCGUAGAUAUUAGGAGGAACACCAGUGGCGAAGGCGACUCUCUGGACUGUAACUGACGCUGAGGCACGAAAGCGUGGGGAG
rnacentral:rRNA from 1 species